CAAACGUGUGCUCUCCCGAUACCGAGCAGUUGCCAGCGGGCGCACUGGGGGCCGAAACAACAGCCCCGGUCGACAGGGAACAACACGCGAGCGUGACCGCAACGGACAAUGAAAACCAGCCUGAUCAUGAAGUUGACCUUAGAGAGGAC